rnacentral:sRNA from 1 species
GUUUAUGGUUAUGUUUGUGAUUCUCAGGAACAGAGAAACAGCGUGGAGGUAGAGUAAAAAUUCAAAAAAUUUACUCUAUAGAGCAACAGGGGAUCGAGUAUGUCAGUGUAGAGAAAUUCAAGAAUUUGAAAAAGUUCUGUUGCACUCAGAGACCAUGAGAUCGAGUAGGUUGGUCGAGUAUUAGUGAUGAUUUUAAAACCCAAAAUUUUGAAAUCAUAUUUAUACUCGACCAACAGAAGCUACAGAGACUUACAGUGAGUUUAUCAAGUUUACAAAGGAUUACAGAAGGUUCUAGUCAAAAGGGAACAACGCUUCAGGACAAACAGACAGAGCGUGGCCCACCACCUCUCCAUUUUGUUCCCCCAUGCGUUUCUAAGGAUAAGAAAAUCCCUUCCCUCCUUCUCAACCACUCGACCGAGUCUCUAGCUUCGACCUCUCAACAACUCGACCGCUCCUUUGCUGCCGCCUACAAACCGCCGCUGUUUUCUAGUGAAGACUACUCAACCUCGUCGGAUAGACCGGAAACACUCGACCACAAUCCGCCUAGAAACGAAAGCCCGAAGCCACAAUUUCACACGACCGGUACUCGACGGGUAUACUCGACCGGUUUACUCGGCUGGUUUAGUGUUUGGGUUUAUUGGAACUAACUUAUUGAUAUUUAGCUUUGAGUUGCAUCUGUUUUCAGGAAGUAUCAUGAGUAACUACAGUGGCGAAUCCUCUAUGGAUGCGGAUUACAACGUUGAUGAAGCUGAGUCUUGGUCAACUAGACCUGAGAAAGAGCAACAUGCUUAUGAGAGCUUCAGAGUUGAUACCCAACGCUCAGUAGCUCGACCCAAUGAGAGGAGAGCUGAGAUUGCUAGAGGAAAGAGAGCAAUGACAAGUAGAUAUGAAUUGAUUGAUGAAGAUAUUGACGUCGAGUAUGAGCCUGUGUCAUGGCACAGAGAGACGAAGCUGUUGAACAGGCAUGAUGAAGUUACAGUUGAGGAGUACAUCAGACUUUUCGAGCUGAAUGACUUCUGGAGAACGAGGUAUCCAUGUUAUCAGACUUUAGCCCAGCUGGGGCUACUGGAGGACGUACAACACUUAUUUGAAAAGUGUCAUCUGGAGACACUAAUGUCUUACCAGUACGUCGCCUACAAGAAGGAAACAAUAGAGUUUCUCUCCACUCUACAAGUGGAGAUGUAUCAGGGACUUACAGCAGAUGAGUUGGAGAGUGAAGGGUUGGGGUUCUAGACUUUUUCACUGAGCGAGCAGCGCUACAAGUUAUCUAUCAGGAGCCUGGAAGGACUGUUUGGUUUCCCUAGUGGAAAAGGA